GCACCCUCCAUUUUUUCUUGUUUGUCAAUUGUUAACUACAGGGAUUAUCCCCCAUUCAGGAGGUUUGCACUGCCUCUAGCCCUUCCUUUUCGGUUUCUCCUUUUUUCUUCAAGUCACGGUUUUUAUUUUUGCAACAAAACCUGGGGGGUGCCGCUCACCUGCUUCUUUGGACCAAUCUUCACUGUCCCAUGUUGAAAGUGGUCUGGAAACAAAUUACAUCUGUUUUCAGCAAUGUCC